CUACGGGUCGCAGCAGUAGGGAAUAUUGCGCAAUGGACGAAAGUCUGACGCAGCAACGCCGCGUGGGUGAUGAAGCAUCUUGGUGUGUAAAACCCUGUCAGUGGGGAAGAAACGUAUUGGGAGUAACUGCCCUUUACCUGACGGUACCCACAGAGGAAGUCCCGGCUAACUCCGUGCCAGCAGCCGCGGUAAUACGGGGGGGACAAGCGUUGUUCGGAUUCACUGGGCGUAAAGGGCGCGUAGGCGGACUUUCAAGUCGGGUGUGAAAACUGGCGGCUCAACUGCCAGCCUGCACUCGAUACUGUUGGUCUUGAGUGCAUGAGAGGAAAGCGGAAUUCCAGGUGUAGCGGUGAAAUGCGUAGAUAUCUGGAAGAACACCAGUAGCGAAGGCGGCUUUCUGGCGUGUUACUGACGCUGAAGCGCGAAGGCUAGGGGAGCAAACAGGAUUAGAUACCCCAGUAGUC
rnacentral:rRNA from 1 species